UUACCUUUUAAAUAAUACACUACACACACAUAAUUCUCUGCACACACUCACCUACGGAGAAACACACACGGGUUUCCAUUUUCUUAUCCCAAUAAUCCUCCACUUUGAUUGACAAAAAAAUACAUUCACACACAAAUGAGAAAUGAGAGAGAGGAAAGAGAGAUGAACGAAGAGAGAUAGAAAAACCGGUGAAGGAAAAAUAGAGAGAAAGGAGGGAUGUGACGGAGAGAGGAGAGAUCGAGAGAGAAGUAAAAAAAGGAAGGGAGUGCACAGAGAGAGAGAAACGAACGAAUUUGACGGUUGUCAGCAAGUUUCUUGCUGUAAAUGUGCCAGAUUCACCAUUGGUAAACACUGUCGUCGCCGUCCAUAGCCGUUUCGGCAAGACCUGCCGGCAGACGGCUCACCAGUACCGUUUUCUUCCCAAAAUUUAUCUAGAUUUGGGAUGGUGAUUGUAUUUCGCUUGAAUUUUGGAUCGUUGUCUCGGGAUUCAUUUUUCUUUGUGGAUUUGCAUUCAAAUCUGUUCGGUUGUGUCUUUUUAGAUAUCAAGUUGGUCUAGUUCGUUGUUUUUUCGAGGUUGGGUUUUAUUAUCGCACUAUUAUCAAUGAAAAUUCGAUCUUGUGAGGUCCAAUUCUCAACUCUACUUAUUCUUUUAUUAUUUCAAUGUGGUUGAUGAUGUGAUUAGUGGUGUGUUUGAAGUGUAUUUGAGCUUUUAUAAUUAUUAUGGCUUAAUUUCUUGAUUUUACAUCAAAAUUAGUUAAUCAUUGAUUAAGAAUAGAAUUCGGGGAGGUAUGGAUCUUGAAACGUGAAUGUGAAUAUAUUUGAUUUAUUAUUGAAAGUUUGAAUUGGAAUGAGUAUUGAUGUUUGUCAAACCCGAUAGUAUCAUGUUUUAGUCCGAAAUAAAUAGGAAAAUCUUAGUUGGGUAUGCAAACUUUAGGAAUCAAUAUUGUUGGGCGAUUGAAUGUUUGUUGAAUGAUUUUGUUGCAAAAUAUUGAAAUUGUAUUCAUUUUCACCGGGGAAUGCUCCAAGGAAAUUGUAUUUAUUCACGGGGGAAUGUCUCGAGGUAUUAUGUACGCGAAGGAUGUUCGCGAUCAAGACUUGGAACAUCGGGUGGAGCUUAGUCUAGGGCUAGUUUAGAAUUAAAUUUACAUUUUUGGCAUUUUUCUAUUUUUGGAUUGUAUAAUUCAGACUGUACAUUAUUUUGUUUUGAAUUUCUGUUUGGUUUUGUUUGUUUGUUUUGUUGGUUUAUACUCUUCAUAAGACCAUACUAGCCAAUAUACUCCAUGAAGCGACCACGGUCGAACCACGAGACCAAGGGGUGCCUAACUCCUUUCCCUCGGUCAACGGAAUUCCUUAACCGGAAUCUCUAUUCGUGAACUAGUUCUGAAAGUCAAAUCAUUUUGAAAAAACUUUUCCAAAGGUGACUUGGUACUCCCGAUUUAUUCCAAGUGGUAACUCUAAGUAUAAUUAUAAAAAAUUCUUUUCGAAAUAAAUUUUUCAUCUUUUGUCACUUAACAAUAAAAACCCUUUCAAACAUAAAAUCAAUAUUCUUUUUGGUAUAAAGGGAGUGUGACAUCUCUGGCGACUCUGCUGGAGAUUUUUUCAAAAUUCGAGCUUAUUUUUUUGAGUUGUAUCGACUUAGUGUGACACAAUGGGUGUAUAAACAUUUUGUUUGUGUUAUUAUUUUUGUUAUUAUUUUUAUCAUUGUUGGAUGCCUACGUGCUCUUUGUUUACAAUCUUUCUUUAUAUGUUACCGCUUUCUAUUUGGCAUCAUAUGCAUUAACCUGAGUUAAUUCUUUCCCAACAAGUCCCGGAGUACAAGUUGUGUAAACGAACUCUAGUUGAGUCACUCUUAUUUUAGGAUGGGAAACCAUUAGAUGUAUGGAGUAGGUGGAAAGCAGUCGUAGCCACUAUCGACCAUAUACACCUUCGAACAACCUUGUUAGUGGACCCCAGCCUAGGUCAGCCUUUAGGUCAUGCUUAUCUGCAUUAUGUUGAGACCUAGCAGGACCCACUUUGUCCUUUGUGGGAGACUCACCCCUAUAGCAUCCCUACGUGCAAAUUGUUGCAUCUUUUAGGGUAACAGGAUCAUUUAACGGACUGAUUUGGGGAAAACAUGUGGUAGAAUUAAAGGAAAGUGUGUAAGCAAAGAAAAGUGUGAAAAAAAGAAAAAAGAAGAAAAGAAAAAUUGAGUUGAAGAAAAGAGUUCAUAGUUCGUAGGAGUUCUUUAUGGCGUUUGUUUUCCACAAUCAAAAAUUCAAAAAGAUUUUUUUACAUUUUGCAUUCAUUUUCCAAAAAAUCAAAAGCACAAAAAAGAUUUUACUUUGGUUUCCUUUAGCAAGCAUUCUUAAUUCAAAAUUGUCAAAAAGAUUUUUUUUCAAUAGGAGCUUUUAUAAAGGAAAAAUUCAAAAAAUAUGGUAGAAGGUUUGUACAUUUCAUAUAAUGAAAAUAUCAAAAAUAUUUUUCUUUCAUAGUUGUUAGUGUCAUUUUUAUGUGAAGUGUCAGAUUGAAAACUCAAAAGAGAUUUUAUUUAUGUUUUUCAUCAUCCAUCUUUGGCCGUGCACCUCAAGUUAAGGUUCAGUUUGUUAUUUUAUCCUUAAUUAACCUAUCUGGAUGAACUACGCACACCUGAUUCUCCUCAUUCGGGAGUGAGAUAUGUAGGCAGUCCUUCGUGGGUUCGGUUAUCUUAUUUAAAAAAUUCAAAAAAGAAUUUUUCUUCACUCUUCAUUUGGAGUAGGUGUCUCAUAUAUAUCUGUAAAAGAAAACUACAAAAAAAAAGAUUUUUCUUUAAUAGGUUCAAGUUUCAUCUUCGUAUGAAAUUCAAAAUCGAAAACUCAAAAAGAUUUCCUUUGGUAAUUAUUGGUUUCAUUUUGUAUAGGAUUUUAAAGCUGAAAAAUUCAAAAAAAUAUUUCAUCAAUUCUUUUGACAAUUUGUUGUUUUCUUUUCUUCUUAAAGUUUCAAGAAAAAAAAAGAAAGAGACUUUGAUUGGCCGUGUUGUGCCAAAACUUUACGAACUACGCACACUUGAUUCUCUUCUCUCGGUAGUGAGAUACGUAGACGCCCUUCUUGGGUUCGGUGAUCUUUUCAAGAAAAAGAGAAAAAGUUUUGGAUAAGUAUUACAUUCUAACGCCUUUGUUAUUUCUUAUUCAGUUAGUUUAAGAUGGUUGGUUUGUGACAUUCUGGUUGGUCUUCCAUAUCACACCAAAUCUAAGGAAGGGUAAGUUGUGUCCAACAAGGAUAUAGUGAGUGACAUCAUGGAUCAAAUAAAGAGUCAGAAAAAUGAGAAUUUAAAGCAAGAGAUUGUGAGAUUAAGGCAACAAAUGAUGGAAAUGUAUCGAGCUUGGGCCAAUGAGCUACCUCCUCCUCCAUUUCCCACUAUUGACCCUGCAAAUACCUUAAGAUUUCCAUCACAAUUGCAAAGUCAGUUUCCUACUGUUGUUGAUGCACCACAACAUGCCACAGAAUUCACUAUAAGCCAAAAGUAUCCCAAUGCUUUCAUCACUCACUCUCUAGCUCUUCAGUGUAAAUUUACCAUAUUGAUUGUUAUGUCGGGGACACAACGGGGCUUGAGAUGGUCAUACCAUGAGCCUCGACCCCGAGCCUAUACAUUAGAUCCAUAUAAUCACCUGCAACAAGAUUCCUCUUUGCAAAAUCCAAGAUAUUUCAUUCCACUUCCUCAAUAUCCUUUGAAUAAUGCACAGUGAUAUACUCAUUCAUAUUCUUAUCCACAAUGGCAUGCACCGGUUCCUCAACAUCGUCCUCUGCCCCCAUAUAUCUAGCAAGAAACUUCUAAGUCCAAGUUUCAACCGAGUUCGAAGUUUGUAAAAAGAAGGAAAUCAAAGGAUAAUUUUAUACGGAAUGUGUCUGAUAGUGGUGAAAGAUCUAGUCAUGAUGAUGUGAAAAUUAAUGGCCAAGAUGUCAUGCUCAACAAUUGGGAAGUCACUCAUCUCCUUACUUGAAAGGAUUUUUGGUAAUUUGUUUUGUGUUCUUUUCUAUUUUUUGAAUUAUUUUAGGGUUGUAGUUCGAAAUCUAUCUUGUUUUGUUUCUCUGUAGUAUUUAUUUAAACUCUUCAAUUUUUUUUUCAAUGAGAUGUGGUGUCCCUUGUCAUUUUAUCUUAUUUUAAGUCGUUUGUUUGUCUUCUUCACACAAUAUAUUUUAUGUUGGUUCUAGUGAUAUGACAUGCUGGCUGAAUUUCAGCUAGAUCUUAAAAUUUAAUUUAAGCAUGAACUUUGGAUCAGAAUGUUUCAUAUAGAAAAGAGCAUCAGAUAAAAUAGGUAGAGUGUGAUACAUUUGGUGACCAACUUGAAGCCUCCUUUAAAAAUUAUAGCAAGAAUCAUAAGAAUAACUUGGUCAUCAAUUGAAAAGCAUAGCUCAAUUAGGUCAAAUAGUGAAUGCAUGAUCCCUAUAUCAAGAGAAACAGGAAGACAAUCAGCUCUAUGAAAACAUGGGUCAUUCUAGGUAAGGGAUGUACACCAAAGGUAGAGUUGUAUGUUUGACAAGUGUAGAACAAGAAGUGGCACACAUGCUCAGUUAAAGUUAGUGUUGUUAGAGUGUCACAAAUGAUCUUCAUCUUUUACUUUAUAUUGCAUGAUGUAUACUUGCAUUUUCAAGGAUUGACAUGACGAAGGCAUUUCAUUCUGCUAUUCAAAUAUUGUGUCAUCCUUUAUUUACCUCAUUUGAGCUUUAGUGUUAUUUUGUUUCAUACCUCUCUUUUGGAAUCAAGAUAGAGUCAACAAAACUCAAAAGAAAAUUUUGAGCAAAAGAAUAAAGUCUGAAAAGUUUCAAAAAAAAGAAAGAAAAAAAGAGAAAAAAAAAAGAAUGUCAAGCAAAAUAAAAUCAGAAAAGUCGACAAGAGAAAAGAGUCAAUGAAAAAAAAAGAGAAAUCAUAAUUAAGCAAAAGAACAAGUUUUCAUGACUAUGUGUAACCUGAUUCUCCUCUCUCGGGAGUGAGAUACGUAGGCUGCCCUACUCUGGGCUCAGUCCAACCAAAUAAAUAAUUUAGAGUUGCCCAGUCAAUAGAAAUUGGGACAUAAUUUAAGCUUCAUUAUUUGAGUCGAUUACAAAAGUUGUAAGUCACACCCUACUUCAAGUGUCAUUUGGGCCUUAUGUCAUUCUUUCUUUCUAACCUUAUCCAAAAGCCAAGUUACAACCAAAGAAAGAUUUUCAGAUCAACUUUGAGAAUGAUAAGGCUAAGCAUGCAAUCCAUAUAAUAAUGUAUUUUGGGAACUACUUGUCUUCUUCAGCAUAAUGAAUCAAGAGAGAAAUAAAAAUAAGAGAGUCUUAUUGGUGAAAAAUCUCAUGAACAGCGUAAGACGAUAGUAAGUUAAGAGAGAUAAAAAUGAGAGUCUUAUCAGUGAAAACCCUUACAGGCACCAUAAGAUGACUACGAGUUGAGAGAAAUAAAAAUAUGAAAGUCUCAUUGGUGAAAACCCUUACGGAAAAUAUAGUGCAAUGGUGAGAUAAGAGAAAGAAAAUGAGACAGGCUUGUUGGCGAAAACCCUUCAAGGCGUCACUAGCUGAAUGAGGUCUCUGAAUGUGAAUCGUCCUAAGAAAGUAACUUAAUUUCAGGGUCAUUAACUCAACAACAACUGGUAAAAUUGAAUUGAAAGAUUAGACAGCUAAAUCUAAAAUGCAUGUCAUAAUCAUUAGAGUUGACUAUCACUUUCAGAUAAAUUUUAUUUUUUUCUGUUUUAAUGGGGACAUUCAUUGUCUGUUUUUUCUUCUUUAUAUUUUUAUUUUUUUUCCUUGUGUCAGUUAUUCAAAUUGAAAGUCAUUUUUCUUGUAUCAUUGAGUCAAGUCCAUGUCAAAACAAGUGAGAAAAGAUUUCAAAACUUGCUACCAACUUCUUCAAUUGCACAAAGCAAGACAAAAGGUCAGAACAUGAAAGAAACAUGAUUAUAAGUAAAAAAAAAGACAAGCAUAAAGUUUUGUCAAAAAGAAGUUUGUAGAAUCAAGGAAAUCCAAGGUUCGAAAGAUUUAUCGGAGAGACAUAGCAAAAUAGAGCUACUGUGCUUAAUUCUGAGUCACUUUAAAUGGUCUAAGUUUGGGUCAAUGGUGCAGCAAGAUAGUGAUAUGACAUUAGUUGAAAGCAAAAUUAACGGAACAAGUUCAAGACAAAUCACCUCAAAAUCCAAAGCCGCAAGCCAACCUCCCUGUUUUAAACUCGCAAGUUUUCUUUGUAUGAAAUAGGAACAGUUGUUACCUUCAAAUCAAAGGCUUCAAAACGGAAAUAUCCAAAGGUGUAAUUCAUUAUUUCUGCAAAUGCAAGAGCAGUAUUGUUGUACACGUUUGGUCUCACAAUUAUGGUAAAACUUAUCAUUUUGUACCCCUAAAAGACGCAUUCUCUAAUUUGGGUCAUUAUGUCUCAUGACUAGGAGGUGCACUUCCUAAUUUGAGUUGUUAAUCCUAAAAUAUGUACUUUUAGCAAGGAUCUUGCACUUUCACUCUAACGAGAUAGACGGUUUGGUCUCAAUCCUUCCAUUUUACCCUCAAGAGGUGCAUUUGUUGAUCAGAAUCUUGAUUCAUCUUUGCAUUGUACAUUGUUGCAAGUGGUUGUGAUUGGGUUUGACACCCGUAAAAGGUUUUGAUGAUAAACUGGUGCAAAAUAAAAUUUAACCUAUUAUUUGGGACAUUACUUUAUGUUCAGGACCCUCCCAGAGAAUGGAAAUUUACUUUACGUUUAAGACCCUCCCAGAGAAUGAGAAUUUAAUUUAUGUUCAGGACCCUUCUGGAAAAUAGGAAUUUACUUUAUGUUCAUGACCCUCCUGGAAAAUGGGAAUUAACUUUAUAUUCAGGACCAUCCUGAAAAAUGAAAAUUUACUUCAGUUCAGGACCCUCCUGGAAAAUGGGAAUUUACUUUAUGUUCAGGACCCUCCUAAAAAAUGAGAGUUUACUUCAGUUUAGGACUCUCCUGGAAAAUGGAAAUUUAUUUUAUGUUCACGACCCUCCUGAAAAAUGGGGAAUUUACUUCAGUUCAGGACCUUUCUGGAAAAUGGAAAUUUACUUUAUGUUUAGGACCCUCCUGAAAAAUGAGAAUUUACUUCAGUUCAGGGCCCUCAUGAAAAAUGGGAAUUGACUUAAGUUCAGGAAUCUCCCGAAAAAUGGGAAUUUACUUUAUGUUCAGGAACCUCCUGAAAAAUAGAAAUUUACUUUAUGUUCAGGACCAUCCUAGAAAAUGGGGAAUUUACUUUACGUUCAGCAGCCUCUUAGAAAAUGAAAAUUUACUUUAUGGUCAGGACCCUCCUGGAAAAUGGAAAUUUACUUUAUAUUCAGGACCCUCCUGGAAAAUGGGACAUUGUUUUCUGCUCAGGACCUUCCUGAAAAAUGAGACUUUACUUUCUGUUCAGAACACUUCUGAAAAAGGGGGCUUUAUUUUCAGAAAAUUGGAAUCACUCAUUGUCAUAACUCUUUCAGAUAAUUUGUGUGCUAGCUUGGAAUCACUCGCUGGAUGUAUUCUGUUGAAAGCUUAGGGCAAAAAAUUGGAGGACAGGAACUGAUUGGGGAUCUUGAUUGUACUGUUCACGGAAACUUCUUUGGGAGCCAGGACAAAAAACUGGAGGACAGGAAUUGAUUGGAGGUCUUGAUUGCACUGUUCACAGAAACUUCUUUGGGAUCCAGAUAUGCCAAGGUUCAAGCGGUUGCAGAAAAAGCAAAAACUAAGUCCGUCGGUAUCUACAUCACAAGGAUUCAUCACAACCAUCUCUUGUUAGUCGGGAGUCAUCACAACCAUCGCAUGUUGGUCGGGACUCAUCACAACCAUCUUGUUGGUCAGGACUCAUCACAGCCAUUGCUUGUUGUCGGGACUCAUCACAACCAUCUUCUGUUGGUCAGGACUCAUCACAGCUAUGUCUUGGUCGGGACUCAUCACAGCCAUGUUCUAUUGGUCGGGACUCACCACAUCGAUAUUCGAUUGGUCGAGACUCACCACAGUCAUCUCGAUUAGUUCACUCUACAUCAUAUAUGCGUCUGACAAAUUAGGACUUAUCACAGCCAUCUCGAUCAGUUCAUUCUACAUCACAUUCGACUCCAACAAAUUAGGACUCAUCAUAACCAUCUCUAACAAAUCAGGGCGCACCCCGAAAAUAUUCUAGAUAUGAAUCAAAUACGCAUUGGGAUGUAGUUGAAAUAGAUUCAAGAAAUAAUGUCAAGAAAUUCAAAGUGAAAGCUAAGGAAGUACUGAAUUUAACAGGUGAAGAACGUAUCGUGGUUAAUUUUGAAGUUUAUGAAGAACCAUUUGGGGAAGCACGUAGCCUACUUUCGCGUUUUUGUGAAAUUUUAGCGUGUGAUUGCUCUUUAUUUCAAAUCAACUUUGAGAAAUGGUCGAUUUUACCUAUGACAUACUUCAACCGCAUCUUCGAACAUACUAUAAAGAUGGACGAAACUGGACAAUGGCCUGGACGAGCACAAAUGUACAUUACUACUCAUAAGAGUCAAGAUGGAGUAUAUGUUAAUGAAGCGGCAAAAGAAAUAUGUGUGAGUUAUACUUAUGUGCCAUAGACUCUUAUCGAGCAAUCAACCGCGGUAUGCCAAAUGAAUUUCUAUUAUUAAUUUAUUUUGACAAUAAAUUUUCCAUAUGUAGGAAAAAAUUGAGUCAACUUUGAGUCAAAGCACCAUAGAUGAGUCUCAAGUUUUUUCAAAUGAUGUCAUUAGUAAGGUGCUAGGGCCAGACCACUCUAGAUGGGUGAGAUGCUUGGGAUUAGGAGUUGUUCCUAGUAGAGUGUUUAAAUAAGAUAGACCUCAUUUUGGUGGUACAAGUGCUUCAAGUAGUGGAGGUUCUUGUUCGUUCCAAUGUCGAGAAAACUUGGCUCAAAUAAUGAAUUCUCACAAUCAAAUAAUGAGUGCUUUGAAGGCGUAUAUGAUAAUGAAAAAAGGAACGAUACUGAAAUAAUUUGUGGGGCUCUUUGAUUCUCCUUCAAUGGCUUCUCCCACGGCAGUAAGUAAAGUUCUCUUUACUUUUUUUUAGUUGGAUCGGUUGUGAAAAUUUUCUCUAAUUUUAUGUUGUUUUUGAGUUGGUGUGCUGCAACUUUUCUUGAUCAUAUUGGAAGUUUUUCUUGUGUUGUUUUCUGGGUUGUUGUGUUCAGUAUCCUUUGCUAUAGCAGAGUGGUUCUUUGAAAAAAAUAGUAUCUUCCUUUUGAUAACUUCUUGAGUUGUAUUGACAAAACAAAAUCAAUCCGUCAAAAGUGGCUAUCUCAUUUCAUGUGCAUAACAUUUUUGUUACAACUUUGGAGAGUAUGAGCAUAGCUUGUGGUUGCUGGUUGUGUUAGAUGGCUUAUUAUGUUGACUGUAAAUAUUUUUGUCAUUUAGUAUAAACAUGCUAUGUUAAUGUUGUCGUGUACAACUAGAGGUGUUUACACCUACCAGUACGUAGACCCUCUCUGUUUUAUGUCAAAUUAUAGUCGUUGCUGCCUUUUUAAUUCUGGUGUGUUUCCUGAUAGUUUUAAUUUUAGCCUUGUAGGGGGUGCCUGUUGCUAGCUCAAUUAAUUCUUUUCAUGAUAGUUUCUUUUGUCUGUAGCUCAAUAGAUCAAUUGUCUGAGCUUCGUCUUGAAGGGGUAGGUGUUGGGGAAGUUUUAAGGAGAGUAUCUUUUGAUGUUACAUCUGGAACAAAGAGUGGAAAUGGAAAUGAGGAAGUGCUUCUUAAGCUACUGCAUGUGGUUCUUGAAGGGAAGGAUGAGAAGGCAAGGCGAGAGAUGAAAGGCUUAGUAUUGAAAAUGUUGCAUGAGAAUUCAUCUCAUAAUGACUUGAGGAAGGAGUCACUGUAUUCAGCUUGAAUGCAUGUCUGCAAUUGCUCCGCCACUAUUUUUUACGGGCAGCAGAUGCAGACAUGAUGGAUGUAAAUCAGAUUGCACGACAGGCUGAUAAUCUGCAUUGGAUUUUGUAUAUUUUGAUUGAUAGACAGAUAGCUGAAGAUUUUUUGAGGACUUGGGCUUCUCAGUCUGAAUUAUCUGAGGCACAUCCGAAGGAAGGUGCCAGCACUUCAUAGGUAUGAGGUUAGUAGAGUCACGGCUAGACUAUUUGUUGUAUAGGUAAAGGGCAAUUACUAGAUUCCAAAGAUGUUAGGUGCUCUCUUUUGCAGACGUGAUUAGUGCCAUUCUAUGAGGAUUUUGGAUGGAUGAGGAGGGCAUCAAGAGGUUUCCUACUUUAAGGUUUCUUCUGAUCCAUGUAGAGCUCUCCUGUCUGUGACUGAAUUUCCUGAAUUAGUGAUUUUAUCACAAAGGGUCAUCCUACUUAAGAGUUGUGCGGCUUCCUAAGUUGCAGGGAUAAUCCAUAUGUUCAGUUUUACUGGACAUGAAAAAACACAAUUUAAGCAAGGUAACAAAGUUCAGGCAAUUUGGAGAUAAGGAUGAUUGUUAAUAUAUAAGACCAAGCUAAAUUGUUAUUGAUUUCGUGAUGGCAAUGCCAAGGAUUGCAGCAACAUGGUGAAUUGUAUAUUGUUGUAAGUUCAGAAGAAAGACUGAUCAUUUUGCUUUUCUGGUUUCUAAUGAAAUUCAUUGUCUA